rnacentral:rRNA from 1 species
GAUGAACGCUAGCGGCAGGCCUAAUACAUGCAAGUCGAACGGUGUAUCAAUACACAGUGGCGCACGGGUGCGUAACACGUAUGCAACCUACCUUACAUUGGGGGAUAGCCUUUCGAAAGGGAGAUUAAUACCGCAUAAGACAGUAACUAGGCAUCUAGUAGCUGUUAAAGAUUUAUCGAUGUAAGCUGGGCAUGCGUCCAAUUAGUUAGUUGGCGAGGUAAUGGCUCACCAAGACGAUGAUUGGUAGGGGAACUGAGAGGUCAAUCCCCCACACGGGCACUGAGAUACGGGCCAGACUCCUAUGGGAGGCAGCAGUAGGGAAUAUUGGGCAAUGGGCGCAGGCCUGACCCAGCCAUGCCGCGUGCAGGAAGAAGGCGUUAUGCGUUGUAAACUGCUUUUAUACAGGAAGAAACGACCCUUGCGAGGGGCAUUGACGGUACUGUAUGAAUAAGCACCGGCUAACUCCGUGCCAGCAGCCGCGGUAAUAC